UUAGGCCUACGGGGCGCAGCAGUGGGGGAUAUUGCACAAUGGGGGAAACCCUGAUGCAGCGACGCCGCGUGGGUGAAGAAGCGCCUCGGCGCGUAAAGCCCUGUCAGCAGGGAAGAAAAUGACGGUACCUGGAGAAGAAGCCCCGGCUAACUACGUGCCAGCAGCCGCGGUAAUACGUAGGGGGCAAGCGUUAUCCGGAUUUACUGGUGUAAAGGGGGCGCAGACGGCGAUGCAAGCCAGGAGUGAAAGCCCGUGGCCCAACCCCGGGACUGCUCUUGGAACUGCGUGGCUAGAGUGCAGG
rnacentral:rRNA from 1 species